rnacentral:rRNA from 1 species
UGGCGGACGGGUGAGUAACGCGUGGGCAACCUGCCUUAUACAGGGGGAUAACAGCUGGAAACAGCUGCUAAUACCGCAUAAGCGCACAGUACUGCAUGGUACAGUGUGAAAAACUGAGGUGGUAUAAGAUGGGCCCGCGUCUGAUUAGCUUGUCGGCGGGGUAACGGCCCACCGAGGCGACGAUCAGUAGGGGUUCUGAGAGGAAGGUCCCCCACACUGGAACUGAGACACGGUCCAGACUCCUACGGGAGGCAGCAGUGAGGAAUAUUGGUCAAUGGAUGAGAAUCUGAACCAGCCAAGUAGCGUGCAGGAUGACGGCCCUAUGGGUUGUAAACUGCUUUUAUACGGGAAUAAAUGACGACACGUGUGUUGUUUUGUAGGUACCGUAUGAAUAAGGACCGGCUAAUUCCGUGCCAGCAGCCGCGGUAAUACGGAAGGUCCGGGCGUUAUCCGGAUUUAUUGGGUUUAAAGGGAGCGUAGGCCGGCGCUUAAGCGUGCCGUGAAAUGUCCCGGCUCAACCGGGACACUGCGGCGCGAACUGGGUGCCUUGAGUGCGCGGAACGUAUGCGGAAUUCGUGGUGUAGCGGUGAAAUGCUUAGAUAUCACGAAGAACUCCGAUUGCGAAGGCAGCAUACGGCAGCGUAACUGACGCUGAAGCUCGAAGGUGCGGGUAUCGAACAGGAUUAGAUACCCUGGUAGUCCGCACGGUAAACGAUGGAUGCCCGCUGUUGGCGAUAUAGUGUCAGCGGCCAAGCGAAAGCGUUAAGCAUCCCACCUGGGGAGUACGCCGGCAACGGUGAAACUCAAAGGAAUUGACGGGGGCCCGCACAAGCGGAGGAACAUGUGGUUUAAUUCGAUGAUACGCGAGGAACCUUACCCGGGCUUGAACUGCAGGUGAACGAUUCAGAGAUGAUGAGGUCCUUCGGGACACCUGUGGAGGUGCUGCAUGGUUGUCGUCAGCUCGUGCCGUGAGGUGUCGGCUUAAGUGCCAUAACGAGCGCAACCCCUGUUCUCAGUUGCCAUCGGGUCAUGCCGGGCACUCUGUGAAGACUGCCUCCGUAAGGAGUGAGGAGGGUGGGGAUGACGUCAAAUCAGCACGGCCCUUACGUCCGGGGCUACACACGUGUUACAAUGGGUGAUACAGAGAGUCGGCGGCCGGCAACGUCCGUCUAAUCUAUAAAGUCAUCCUCAGUUCGGACUGGGGUCUGCAACCCGACCCCACGAAGCUGGAUUCGCUAGUAAUCGCGCAUCAGCCAUGGCGCGGUGAAUACGUUCCCGGGCCUUGUACACACCGCCCGUCAAG